GACGGGACCGCACAAGCGGUGGAUGAUGUGGUUAAUUCGAUGCAACGCGAAAACCUUACCACCUUUGACAUGUACGGAAUCCUUUAGAGAUAGAGGAGUGCUCGAAAGAGAGCCGUAACACAGGUGCUGCAUGGCUGUCGUCAGCCCGUGUCGUGAGAUGUUGGGUUAAGUCCCGCAACGAGCGCAACCCUUGUCAUUAGUUGCUACAUUCAGUUGGGCACUCUAAUGAGACUGCCGGUGACAAACCGGAGGAAGGUGGGGAUGACGUCAAGUCCUCAUGGCCCUUAUAGGUGGGGCUACACACGUCAUACAAUGGAUGGUACAAAGGGUCGCCAACCCGCGAGGGGGAGCCAAUCCCAUAAAGCCAUUCGUAGUCCGGAUCGCAGUCUGCAACUCGACUGCGUGAAGUCGGAAUCGCUAGUAAUCGCGGAUCAGCAUGCCGCGGUGAAUACGUUCCCGGGCCUU
rnacentral:rRNA from 1 species